GCUCCUAGAAAAUUCAAGGUGAGAAUUGGCUGGACUAUAAAUGAGAUUUAGCAGGAGGAUACCAGGCUCUCUGGAGAAUUAAGAUGCAGAAGUGCAUAUUUCAAAUCAGCUGUGAAAAUCCAGAGGUGCCCCAAACUCUUUGGGCAAUCCCUUUCUGUUUUAAGAUGGGGAAGUGAAGGAUUGCACUUACAUUCUUUCCAACUGCUGUAUUUGAUGAAGGGAAUUUCCCUGAAAUUUAUCUUUUCAUUUUUAUGUGAAUAGACUCUGCCAGAAAGAUAUUUUCCCUUCUCUAUUAGUAUUAAGAUUUGCAGACUGAAAGAGCAGCAAACUACAAAUUCAUCUUUAUGUGGCCCUCAUUGGAAGGAGGAGACUCAUGGCCUGUCCCCCAAAAAGGUAUUCCUUGGAAUAGGGGCAGAGGAUCCUGAGCAGCAGGCUGGACCUGUGGGAGCAGCUCAAGUGCCAUUCCCAUGGAGCACCCAUCCUGGAUGGAACCAGAGUGUCUGGAGGUUGAAGGUACAUGGAAAAUGGAUCAGCUGAAAGAACAGCUCUUCAUGAUAAUUGGGAAGGGAAGACAUGGAGAACUUUUGUGGUGAAAAGUCCAAGUGUAGCCCAUGAUGGAUAGGAGCAGAACUUCUAUUGUGGUCAAGUACAACUGGCAGUUCAAGGAGAGGAUUAGCAGUAAGAACAGAGGAACAGUGUUUGAUUUAACCAUUCUCCUAGCAACUUUUAAACAGGAAUGAGAGCAGAAAAUAAUCAUUGGUCUGGUCCUCUGGCAUUGGCAGGAAAAUGCCACGGGAGCCGGCUGGGACAGUGACAUGGGACAGGUUCUGCAGCUGCCUGUGCAGCCUCGUGAUCUGCCAGUGCUGGCAUUAACUACUUCAAUUUUCCCCUCAAGAACCAGAAAUCUUCUUUAAUCCUACAUAAUUCUAAAAUUGCAGAGCUGGAGGUAGGAAGGGCCCAUUAAGCGAGGCAGCCUCCUCUGUCCGCAGGGGGAUUGUUCAGGGGGAACUUCGUGAUUGAAAAACAGGGAUUCAACCAAUUACUCACCUAAUAGUUUCAGUUCAUCCACCUCUGCCUCUGAGAUCUGUCGUCUCAUCUUUCUUUGUGAGCAGCAUGAAUGGAUGAUCAAGUUUCAUUCUCAAAUCUGCAAGGCAGAUUUAUGCAGAGUCUUUGUAUCUCUAAGCAAAUCGGGGAAUGCGAGUCUCUUGCUACAGUGCGGCUGAAUAUUCUUAGGGAAGGUGUGUAAGCAGCCCAAACCUAAUUCCUGUGAGGGGUUUAGCUCACGGCAUGAGACCUUCAGCUGGAGUAAGGAGCUGCACUGGGGUUCGGUGCGAGCCUGGGGUGCCUGCGAGCUG
rnacentral:lncRNA from 1 species